rnacentral:hammerhead_ribozyme from 1 species
AUCCAACUGACAAGUCCUAAAUAGGACGAAACCGUCGUCUUAUAU